AGAGUUUGAUCCUGGCUCAGGACUAACGCUGGCAGUGUGCCUUACACAUGCAAGUCGGACGGGGGACUUCGGUCCCUAGUGGCAAACGGGUGAGUAAUGGAUAGAUAAUCUACCGGGAAGAUGGGGAUACCCCCUCGAAAGAGGGAACAAUACCCAGUACGCUCCGCAAGGAGGAAAGGUGGUGCAAGCCACCGCUUUCCGACGAGUCUAUCUCCUAUCAGCUAGUUGGUGAGGUAAUGGCUCACCAAGGCGAUGACGGGUAGCUGGUCUGAGAGGAUGAUCGGCCACACUGGAACUGAGACACGGUCCAGACUCCUACGGGAGGCAGCAGUGGGGAAUUUUGGGCAAUGAGCGAAAGCUUGACCCAGCGACACUGCGUGGGCGAUGAAGAUCUUUGGAUUGUAAAGCCCUUUUAUAGAAGAGUAAGGAGAUGGUUAGGAAAUGAGCUGUCUCUUGCAAGUAUUUUAUGAAUAAGCCCCAGCCAACUACGUGCCAGCAGCUGCGGUAAUACGUAGGGGGCAAGCGUUGUCCGGAAUUACUGGGUGUAAAGGGUGUACAGGCGUCCUGUUAAGUUGGUUGUGAAAACCCGGAGCUCAACUCCGGAACUGCAGCCAAUACUGAUAGGAUCGAGGGUAUGAGAAGGAAGCGGAAUUCUCGGUGUAGCGGUGAAAUGCGUAGAUAUUAGGAGGAACACCAGUGGCGAAGGCGACUUACUGGACUGUAACUGACACUGAGGCACGAAAGCGUGGGGAGCAAACAGGAUUAGAUACCCUGGUAGUCC
rnacentral:rRNA from 1 species